rnacentral:lncRNA from 1 species
UGGUGUUCCUUCAAAAGUCAUGUUGAAUUACUUUACUUCAUUUGUUUGCUAAUUAGAAAUAGAAAAUUUAUAAACUCUAAUUUGUGAAAAAUGGCAUGCGCUGGAAGGUUGGAGCUGGAAUAGCAUAAGGUUUGCGUCGGCACAAGUUAAGUUAAAGAACUGAUGAUUAGUUAGAAUCUGAUACUUAAAAAGUUAAGUUAUUUAUUCUUUAGCUAAAUAUAACUUUUUAAUUUCCUUAUUAUGUUCACUAUCUAAAUUUCUAUUUCUAAGGUUAGUAGCUCUACCUCAUCUCUAAAUAAUUUCAUGAUAGGGUUAGUAGCUAAUCUUUAAUUUUAUUAAGUUGCAUGGUGAAGUCAAUCCAAAAGUCAUGUUGGGUUUUUUUAAUAUUUUUGUUUGAAUAACUUCUUUUGUUUGAUGUUUGAAUUGAAUUUUUGUAAUUUAGUGUGAUGAUUGUUAAUUAGAAAUAGAAAAUUUCUAAACUCUAAUUUGUUAAAAUGUUAUGUGCUUGGAGCUCGAAGAACAUAGGGUUUGCGUCGGCACAAGUUAAGUUGAAA